UGAGGAACAUGACCUUCGGCGGGGGAUAGCCGGCCCAACGGCCGGGUAAUACCGCGUACGACCUUUCGGGGACAUCCCUGGAUGGUGAAAGCAGCAAUGCGCCGAUGGAGUGCCUCGCGGCCUAUCAGCUAGUUGGUGAGGUAACGGCUCACCAAGGCAACGACGGGUAGCUGGUCUGAGAGGAUGGCCAGCCACAUUGGAACUGAGACACGGCCCAGACUCCUACGGGAGCAG
rnacentral:rRNA from 1 species